CCCCGGCUAACUACGUGCCAGCAGCCGCGGUAAUACGUAGGGGGCAAGCGUUGUCCGGAAUUAUUGGGCGUAAAGCGCGCGCAGGCGGUUAUUUAAGUCUGGUGUUUAAGGCUGGGGCUCAACCCCGGUUCGCACUGGAAACUGAGUGACUUGAGUGCAGAAGAGGAAAGUGGAAUUCCACGUGUAGCGGUGAAAUGCGUAGAGAUGUGGAGGAACACCAGUGGCGAAGGCGACUUUCUGGGCUGUAACUGACA
rnacentral:rRNA from 1 species